UAUAAUAUUAUAUAUAUGUAUUGCAGGGUGUCGAUAAUAUUGGAUAUGAGUACGGCGGGGGAGCGUGUACCUGAAUGUAAUUCGACGUCGUCCAUCUCGCCGAAGACUUCAAUUUCAAUAUGAGCAGUAUCACGUUGUCGACGCACUGCGAGCGGCAGGAUAGCACAUGAAAAAAAUAAAAAUAACGCGACUCGUAUUCAAAUAUGUGUAUCAUAAGUAUAGAUUAUUAUUAAAAAGUAUAUUAUAGUAUAUAUCGUAUAUAGUCGCGAAUCGUCGUAUAAAUCCUCAUUGGUAAUACGCGUAUUAUCUCUGCAUCGUCGGUGUGAUGGCCGGAAGAGAGGACGGCGAAAUGACGCGGACGUCGACGAGGCGAUUAUUGCCGGUUAAGCCGACCGGUUCAUACAGUUGAGCAAAUUUUAUUCAAAACGAUUUCUCGGGCCAACGAAGGUAAAAUGCUCGUAAGGCUGUUAAACGUCGUCAGAAAUAUAAGCACUCGUCGUCUGAUUGAAAUAGAUAAAAAUGCCGUCAACGAUACGCGAAUAUCGAGUCGUCACAAUAGCUAUUAGAAAUCGCAAGCGGUAGUUUUAUCGAUUUGUCGCAUUAAUGACUCAUCGAACACCCCGAAACAAACUAUAUAGGUAUAUUUUUUAUCUACUGUCAUGUUCCUGUAUAAAGACCGGAAAUGCCGUCUGUUUGAAUGCGAACAGCCCGUCGCCUGCAGCAGUAUACCUACUAUAACCUAACCGGAGUGGUCCAGCAACGGCCCGCUGCAGUACCUGCAGCAGCUACCUUUGAACGAUUGUACGGUGUACGAAAACCGUAAAAAAUUCUCAAAUAAAUCGAUGUCACACUACUUGUUUUUUAGUCAGCGACUCAAGCGUGAAAAAACGUGUGACAAGUUCAAAAUCAAUUUCACAUCUCAAUUCGUAUGAGAAUUUUGCAAAAAUACAAUUUAAGCGAUUAUUUUUAAAUUUUAAAUAAUAUUCUAAAAAUAAUUCGAACGAGCCGAGAUAUUUUUAAAAUAAGAAAAAAUUUUAAAAAAAUUUCCAUUGGGCUACCAGAGUGAGUACCUACACUUAUAAUACUGACUUCAUCAUUUUAGAAACAUCCUUUAUAACCUUGUAACUAUAAUAGUACCUACUUAAAAGUUAUUACAAUGUAACAAUAUGUCAUUAUAUGUUAUAUAAUAUAUAUGUCAUAUUAUUAAUUUUAUAACUCGGCAACCAAAUAAUAUUAAUCUGUAUUCUGCUAAAAUAAAUAUAUAGAGGUAUAAUUAAUAAAGUGGUAAAUAAUAUUUCAUGUGAUAUAUAAGUAUAUUGACUUAAUUAAUUAAAAUAUAUUUUAUACGGCAAAGGAUAUAUCAUAAGUUAUUGUAUCUUGUAUAAUUCGUACCGUUUGU